GGUUGUGAAAUUUAUUUAAAUACAAUCAGUUUUAAAGACAAACUCAUGAAAAUAAAUUAUUAGAUUAUUUUUGCAAUGGUCUAGAAGACAUUUUCAAAUAAAGAAAAUUUAAGAAUAUUUUCCAUCAAAAGUGGGUAAAUGGUGCAACAAUCAAAAUAAAAGAAUUUUUUUCUCACUAGCCCUUCAAAUGUCACGUCCCAUUAAUGAAACGUCUCAUGUAAUUAAUUUUAUUAAAAUUUGUGGUCUAUUUAAUGUUGUACACAUCAAAUGACUCAACGAUAAUGAUUAUCGCCGCGUUUCUUCACAUUUCCCAACAUUAGAACCGUUGGAUCCUUAAAGAUAUCUUUUUGUCUUUAUAACUCUUUGGGAUCACAACUCUUUAUCAUUUUAACCUUUCUCACUCUUACAUCGUUCAAAGCUUGGGGGGCUUAUGUACCAAUUUGACUUGUGAGACUGAGGUUAUGAUAUGACCGAGUCUGAUUAAUAGGUCAAUUUUUUAGAGUAAAGACAGAGGACGCCGAGAUGAUCUCGAAAUAGGAAUAUCGGAUUGAAUUUUAUGAUAUCGGGUAUUGACCUCGACACAUUGAGGACAUUGGAUGUAUACCUCAUCAUGAGGAUGACCAACUUAACCGCUACUAAUUAUCCAAAAGGAACGACUAUGACGGUUACAUGGAAGGGGAUUGGACGAUAACGGAACAAGAUAGGUAAUUAUAUAGGAAAAAAUGAUAUACACAAGAUAACUAACUUGAUCGUUGGAGUCCUUUUUGCAGGUACAUCGAAGAUGUUGAGGAGAACGAAGAACAACUUUGGAGACCAAGAUCAAAGAGAUGAACAAGGGAGCCGACUUGAUCCUGGUAAGAACAUAAGUUAUUUGUCAGCUCAAUUUUUGAGAGCGAAGACAGAGGAUGCCGAGAUGAUCUCGAAAUAGGAAUAUCAGAUUAAAUUUACGAUAUUGGGCAUUGACCUCGAUACAUUAGGGACAUUGCUCGUCAUGAGGAUAACUUAAUUGCUACUAAUUCUCCAAAAGAAACGACUAUGACGGUUACAUGGAAUGGGAUUGGACGAUAACGGAACAAGACAGGUAAUUAUAUAGGAAAAAAUGAUAUACACAAGAUAACUAACUUGACCGUUAGAGUCCUUUUUGCAGGUACAUCGAAGAUGUUGAGGAGAACGAAGACCAACUUCGGAGACCAAGAUCAAAAAGAUGAACAAGGGAGCCAACUUGAUCCUGGUGGUGGUACAACCAUUUCAUAGUGAUCUAUAAAACAAAUCAUAGUAGCCACUUCAUCUAAUUAUGUAGAAAUUUUACCAUUGCAUGAGACAAAUUGUGAAUGUGUUUCGCUAAGAUUUGUGAUUCAACAUGUAUAGAAAACUUGUGGUUUAUCUUUCGAAAAAAUGACUUCAACAAUUAUAUAUGAAGAUAAUGAUGCAUAUAUUGCACAAUUGAAAGAAUGAUACAUAAAGAGAGAUAAAAUAAAACAUAUUCAACCAAAAUUUUUGUUUACUCACAAUCUUCAAAAGAAUGGUGAUAUAA